rnacentral:lncRNA from 1 species
GAUCUUUCCUCUCCAGUAAGUGAAUCCACUCUUCAAUUCCACUCAUUCGAUCUCAAAGCAUGCGUCCACAAUCCUAUUUCCAAGAUUUCGAAGACUACCACAAUAUUAUAUGUUUUUGCAUUUUUCACAAGAGUUUAACCAACAGAUAUGAUUAACCAUUCCAACUUGAGUGGGAUUAAGAAGAUAGGUAGACAUAUUGAUAAACUAUUGAAGUCCACAAGUAGUCAUAUGGGUUCAAUGAUGGCGAAGCAUGAACGAUGGAUGUCGUAACGUUUGACCGCUAUACGUAAAUUAAUAAAUUAAUUGAUUACAAAUGCAUGAUGAAUCUUCUAGUAGCAGAUACAAAUUACUCAUUAUAUAAAGGCAUGCAACUCCAGUACUUCCCCAAAUACUAGACGAUAGAACAUACAAUUCCGACAAUAUAAUACAAGUAUGGGUCGACAUCUUUUGUUGGUGAUACUGCUGUUACACAUGACCAGCAUUGGUCUCGCCACCAGCCCACCAACCCCGACGUCGCCUUCACCUGCUCCAGCUGCCGGGGUUCGUGUUGGCGGUGGAGGAGGAGGGGGAGGAGCUGGUGGCAGUAGUGGAAGGGGUUCGACUGGUUCUGGGUCUGGGUUCGGGGCAGGGAGUGGCUCAGGGGUGGAUCCAGGCACCGGUGGAAGCUUCGGGGGAGGAGGUGGUGGUCAAGGUGGCGGUGGAGGCAGCGCCGGAGGUAGUGGGUUUGGCAUGGGAAGUGGGUCAGGUUCGGGAUACAAGGGUGGCGGUGGCGGCAGCGGUGGCACACCUGCCGCCUCUCUCGGCCGUAGGUCUGCAGGCAUUUUCUAAACUAAUGGAAGUGGUGUAUACUAUACAUAUAACAUAAACAGUUAACCUUCUUCUAGGGUUCAUAUAAAGUGUGUCGUCGUUUGCUUUCUGUCAUGCAUGUUUGAAUAAAGCUGUCGGCGGCCGGCCGGGCUAGCUCUAUGUUCCAUAAGCUGUUUGCAUGUCAGUGUAAAAUAUAGUCAUAUAUUGAAUAAGAAGUGGAAGAAGGUUUACAGUGUGAUUUUGGUAA